rnacentral:rRNA from 1 species
CGUAGGGUGCGAGCGUUAAUCGGAAUUACUGGGCGUAAAGUGUGCGCAGGUGGCCGCGCAUGUCGAGUGUGAAAUCCCCGGGCUUAACUUGGGAAUUGCGCUCGAAACUACGUGGCUGGAGUGUGGCAGAGGGAGGUGGAAUUCCACGUGUAGCGGUGAAAUGCGUAGAGAUGUGGAGGAACACCAAUGGCGAAGGCAGCCUCCUGGGCCAACACUGACACUCAUGCACGAAAGCGUGGGGAGCAAACAGGAUUAGAUACCCUGGUAGUCCACGCCCUAAACGAUGAUGACUAGUUGUUGGGGGAGUUAAAUCCCUUAGUAACGCAGCUAACGCGCGAAGCCAUCCGCCUGGGGAGUACGGUCGCAAGAUUA